AGAGUUUGAUCAUGGCUCAGAACGAACGCUGGCGGCAUGCUUAACACAUGCAAGUCGAACGCUCCGCAAGGGGAGUGGCGCACGGGUGAGUAACGCGUGGGAACCUGCCUUUUGGUUCGGAAUAACUGCGGGAAACUGCAGCUAAUACCGGAUAAGUCGGUGCUCUGUGGUGGGGUGCUGGGAAAGAUUUAUCGCCAGAA
rnacentral:rRNA from 1 species